GUGAGGAAUACUACAAUACUCUUCUCCUCUUUUAUGUGCCAUAACAAAGUGGUAUCAAAGCCAUGGCUAAUGUAGGAGGCUUUCAUAAUUAUUUCUUCCUCAUCUCAUCAACAUCAACUAUGAGAAUUGAGGUAUUCAAAUGAAGGUAUUGUUUGGAUCUCAAGAUAUUUGGCACAUAGUCAAAAGAGGCUAUGAAGAAGUCGAAGA
rnacentral:lncRNA from 1 species